AGGAGUUGGGGAGAGCAUUUCCCAGCAUGCCACGCAAUGGUCGGCGGAAGUACUUUACCUUUUCCGGUUCUUUUAAGUGCAUUGUGGGUGGCGGAAAACAAGAAAGUGUCUCUUCUGUGAUUCACGUUGUGUUAGAAACCGGGAAGGCGAGUGUUUUCGGGAAAACGUUUUAAAGCUAUACAGCCAAGAUGUCUAUCGGAGUUCCCAUUAAAGUGUUGCACGAAGCCGAGGGACACAUAGUUACCUGUGAGACCAAUACCGGUGAGGUGUACCGCGGCAAACUGAUAGAGGCUGAAGACAACAUGAACUGCCAGGU